CCUCCUUAAAAAAUAAUCGCUUAGGAUAGGCGUUCACACGAAUAACUUGCUUUUACCUAAAUCAUUUCUUUACAGAUUUGAGAUUAAGGAGCGUUCUUUAACAUUUUUAUAAGUUCAAUCAAGUCACAUCAUAGUGUCUUAGUUUUUUAAUUUAGAUAUGAAUGAUGUGCAAAUGUCACCAAACCCGUCAUGUUUUAGAACAUAAGUUUGGUGUACAUACUGCAAAGUAAUUUUGGUGAAUGACAAUAGAUACUUGAAGAACAUUAAUCAUUAAGUUGUUUGAUGUAAUAUGGUCAAGUAAUUAAGCGCAUACGGUGGA
rnacentral:misc_RNA from 1 species